GAAUUUCUGGGAGUAGCAUUAGGAUACAGGACCCCUGCUGAGCUCACCAGUUCCUUGCUCUACACAGCUGCUUUCUCAGCUGGGGUUUUGAAAUAAGCACUGUGAGAAAAGACAGAAAUGACCAUGAUGCAUCUUUCUCACUAUGAGAAAAAGAAUACUGAGUAUGUUCCUGUGUCACCUUAUUUGCCAAUAGUGCCAAUUUUUAGAAUGGAGGGUGUAGAUCCAUCCUUUGCAACUGGUGAGGACCUCCUCAGUAAGGCACUGAGCCAGGAGUCUAUACAGCCAUGCCAGCAGCCUAGUCCAAAGACGUUUACAUCCUGGAAGAGAACUUGCUGGCUUUUCACCUCAGCAUGUAUGGGCCAAACUAAUAUAACAAGUCUUGAGAGGAGUCAGCGGCCAAGCUCCAUGUCUUGCAGCCAAACAAUGCUGUGGGAUGGAAGGUGGGAUGUCAUGUGUCUGGUUUACAGCACUCACGUAUCAGUUGGCAGUUAACGGAAGUGCUACUGAUUGUAACAGUGGAAGCAAUUUGAAAUGAAAUACAACACUUAAAGCAAAUGAAACGGAAGUGAAUGCCAGCAGUAAAUGGCAAGAAGAAAUCCAGUUCAGUGUGUUCCUCAGAAAUCUUGCCUCUUGGGACUAAAUGCUGCAAAUGUAACUCUUAUCCUUGUUUUUCAAGUUUUACCAUCUCAAAGCUAUCCACUUUAUAUUAAAUUAGUUCUGUUAUAUUAUGUCAAUUUGUAUUCUUAAGAGCACAAGUUUGGCCUCAAAUAGACCUGAGCUGAGAUCCAAUUCUUUAAUUUAUCUGUGUUGUUUUCUUUUUCCUUAGCUUUAAAGUGGAAAAAAUGCUACUUACAUUUUAUUUAUGAAGGUUAAAGAUAAAGUGUCUGAUAUGGGACCUAUCAUAUGUGGUAGGCACUUAGUACAUGGUAGCAAUUAUGAUUAUUAUAUCUGAUAUUAGCAUUAUUAUUAUGAUUUGUUUUAAUCUUCAAAGUAUCAACUGUUUCUAUUACAUUUGUGGUAAAUACUCCUAAACAGAGUUUUUAAGUUCAAGUGUCCAAAGUUGUUAGAAACAAAGAUAUUUGACAAUAACAUAAUCAUAUCACAUGACCUCAUGAUUUAACCACCUCCCAAAGUUGCCACCUCCUAAUAUUAUCACCUUGGGGGUGAGGUUUCAACAUAUGAAUUUUAGAGGAACAUAAACAUUCAGACCAUAGCAAUAAUGAAGAUAAAGAGUUUAUUCAUAGAUAAAUGUUAAGAAGUAGAUACUGUUUGUUAGGAGAAGUGUCCACAGUUAGGGAGAAGUUAGAGGUCUGGUGUCAUCUUUGAUUUUUGUGUUUCUUCCGGAACCCUGUUGCCUGGCUUCCUACACUAUUUCUUGUGUCUUUUUCUUGUAGCUAAACUUGAACAUUUUUUCCUUGAGUACCAUUUUACAAUCAACUGUGCUUUUAUGCAGUGGACUUUCACUGAAUGUCCCCUAUUGGAAAUUUUAACAACAAUUUAACAACUAUUUAUUUGAUACUUUCUGUAUAACCAAUAUUAUUGAACAUCCUAGGAACACAUACAUAAAUAAAACUUGAUCUCUGCUUUCAGAAAA
ensembl:lncRNA LINC02223 long intergenic non-protein coding RNA 2223